rnacentral:rRNA from 1 species
GAUUUGAGAGGGGCUGCUCCUAGUACGAGAGGACCGGAGUGGACGAACCUCUGGUGUUCCGGUUGUCACGCCAGUGGCAUUGCCGGGUAGCUAUGUUCGGAAAAGAUAACCGCUGAAAGCAUCUAAGCGGGAAACUUGCCUCAAGAUGAGAUCUCACUGGGAACUUGAUUCCCCUGAAGGGCCGUCGAAGACUACGACGUUGAUAGGCUGGGUGUGUAAGCGUUGUGAGGCGUUGAGCUAACCAGUACUAAUUGCCCGUGAGGCUUGACCAUAUAACACCCAAACA